rnacentral:RNase_P_RNA from 1 species
CAAGAAAAACGGCCUGUUGAUUCCCGAUUCGUUGGGGGUAGGAAAGUCCGGACACCAUAGAGCAGCAAAGCGGAUAACAUCCGUCGGUCGCGAGAUCAGGACAAGUGCAACAGAAAGUAUGUAUAUUAAUUUAUAGUGAAACCAGGUAAACUCUUUGCGGUGCAAUGUUAAGUAUAUCGGAUUUUUUCAGCAAUGAAAAUAGGAGCGGCUCGCUCCAAAAACCGAGGGGUAAACAGCAAAAGUUUUGCAGCAAUGUAAAGCGCAGAUAAAUAACAGGCAUUUUGACUUCGGUCAAUGUACAGAAUCCGGCUUAUAGUUUUUCUUGUGGG